UACGGAGGGAGCUAGCGUUGUUCGGAAUUACUGGGCGUAAAGCGCACGUAGGCGGCUUUGUAAGUUAGAGGUGAAAGCCCGGGGCUCAACCCCGGAAUUGCCUUUAAGACUGCAUCGCUUGAAUCCAGGAGAGGUGAGUGGAAUUCCGAGUGUAGAGGUGAAAUUCGUAGAUAUUCGGAAGAACACCAGUGGCGAAGGCGGCUCACUGGACUGGUAUUGACGCUGAGACGCGAAAGCGUGGGGAGCAAACAGG
rnacentral:rRNA from 1 species